rnacentral:tRNA from 9 species
GGUUUACUAGCUCAAUCGGUAGAGCACUUGACUUUUAAUCAAGGUGUACCGGGUUCGAUUCCCGGGUAAGCCACCA